UGUUCGUAUCAACAAAUCUGUGUACGAGUUAAUAACGCAGCCUGGUUCCCUGCAUUUUCAGUGACAGAGAACCAGAAUAAGAUUGCAGGGAAACAAGCCUCAAUGUUACAAGGUUUGAGGGUCUCUGCUAGAAUCAUGUGGACCCCAGUGUAACAAAUCUAUGGAAAGAGAGAAAAUCUCAGCUCAAGGGUCAACAUGUCUUUAUUCCAAGAAAGAGUGUACAUAUGCCAGAAUCAUAUGGACCCCAGACUGUCCCGGGUGAUUCCGUUAAGAAAAAAGAGGAAAAAUCAGUGCUUGUGCUCAUUGGUCAUUGGACAAAGGGUGUAUGCCAGAAUUUUUUCAAGAACAGUCUGAAUCUGACAUGGAAAAAAUGAAGAAAAACAGCCUUCCUGUUUAUAAAUCUACAUUCUGACAAAGGAUCAUUUCCUUGAGAUAGGUGGAACCAACAGUCAAAUACAGACACUUUUAUGAAAAGUAAAAAUCUGGCUCAGGUAAGAAAGAAAUUCAGGAGUUCUUAAAUUGCCCUUGGAGUUCUUGGAUUGCAUCAAACUGCUAAAAGACCUCAACAAAAACAGCGUCUUGAAAAUAAAAAUGAAAAUAUUCAGUGAAAAAAAAAUGAUGAAAGAGCCACUAAAAAUCUUCAAGCCUUUGAGCUGAAAUCUGGAAGUCAAUCUGUGGACUUUACUAGUAUGUCUUACUAAGUCAUCAUUUGUGUAUAAUAAAUACACUAAACUGUUAACACUUGUUAAAAUGUGUAUAAUUUUUAGAUAUAAUUUGUAGCUCACAGACUUCAAUAGUUUCAUGUAAUUUAAGUAAUAAUGAAAAUUUCCUGUUGUCUAGCUAGAUUAGAAACUAUUAU